rnacentral:tRNA from 1 species
GCCGAGAUGGUGGAACGCUAGCCUUAGGAGCUAGUGCCCGUAAGGGUGUAAGGGUUCAACUCCCUUUCUCGGCA